GUACACUGAGCAGGUAAGCCGUCAUUACACAUCUGUAACAUCUGUAACUGGGGUUCCCUUAAAUAGUCCCAUGUUUAAGCCAGUCAGGUUUCCUGAUUUUGAGAAAUCUCAACUUACUAUUUUCUCUGGCCUUCCUUUUGUUUUUCAAUCAUUAAGGUUCAAGUGGCUACUGUUUUAAAUGAUUCAUUUGGCUUUAUUCUCUAACUACUGGAAACAUGUACUUAAGAUUUUUCUUCUGAGUCAAAAGUUAGAAGCUCAAGCUACUGGAAAACGGACUCAUCGUGUCAAGGGGAACUCACGCUGACAGAGGCGCAAAUUCUUGUACAACUAGUUAACAUGAAGAGAGGAGAGUACAAGGAACAGAUCGUAGUCCUCAAAUGUCCCAGACAAUCAACAUCAGGAAAUGAGAAAUGCUCCCAUGGAAGAGAAUGUCCCCAGGGACCAACAAGGGACAGGAUGUGAACAUCUGCUCUUCAAGUCCAUUUCCUUCACUCCCUUGAGUUUAAGGAGGCAGAGGAAGGAGAUGGGAAUCCAGGCCCAUGAAGGGAAUGGGAUAAAGUAACAAGAGAUAGGCAAACAGCCAAGUGUGCUCUAACUCUGACUGACCGUGGAAGGCUAAGGAGUCAUUUGCCAGCAAAGCUUGUGCAAGUCUAUGGAGGCAAAUGAACAGAAUAUUUCUAAUGUGGAAAGAGGCAGCUGGUUACAUCACCUGGCUCUGCUGGUGUCUAAAAUGAACCCAUUAGGAAAUCUAGUCCUCAAGGAGACAAGAAAAAUCCUGAAAAGUUUAUUGAGGUUAAACCUGGCGCUGAAGUAUAAUGAUCAUAGAUUCAAAACAAUUCUCAACCUUUAAAAUGCAACAUCACACUUGGUUUAUGAUGUGCUACUAUAAAUCACACAAACACUGUGUCAGAGGGACACAGCAAAACUACUAACACUGGACUUAGGGCAUAAAAUGAAAAGUACUUGAAUCAUGUAGAAACUGCUUAGCAACCUAGAAAAGUAUUCAAAUAUGCCUGCUAAUAUGCAAAUAUAAUAUUCAUAUAAAUAAAUAUCUUUAAAUGAUAAUUAAAGCUAGGUGUGCUAGCAUACACCUCUAAUCCUAGCACUCAUGAGUCAGAGGCAGGAAAAUCUCUUUAAGAUUCCAGGCCGGUCUUGUCAGCACAGCAAGUUCUAGGCUCGCCAGUGAUACGUAGUGCUACCCUGUCUCAAAAUAUAAAAAUAAAAUUUAAAAAUGGUAAUAAAAA